rnacentral:rRNA from 1 species
GAUGAACGCUAGCGACAGGCCUAACACAUGCAAGUCGAGGGGCAUCACGGGAGUAGCAAUACAACUGGUGGCGACCGGCGCACGGGUGAGUAACACGUAUGCAACCUACCUGUAAGAGGGGAAUAACCCGGAGAAAUUCGGACUAACACCGCAUAAUACUGUUGAACUGCAUGGUUUAACAGUUAAAUAUUUAUAGCUUACAGAUGGGCAUGCGUAUGAUUAGCUAGUUGGUAGGGUAACGGCCUACCAAGGCAACGAUCAUUAGGGGUUCUGAGAGGAAGGUCCCCCACACUGGUACUGAGACACGGACCAGACUCCUACGGGAGGCAGCAGUGAGGAAUAUUGGUCAAUGGGCGAGAGCCUGAACCAGCCAAGUCGCGUGAAGGAAGAAGGUUCUAUGGAUUGUAAACUUCUUUUGUAAGGGAAUAAAAAACGUCACGUGUGGCGUCUUGUAUGUACUUUACGAAUAAGGAUCGGCUAACUCCGUGCCAGCAGCCGCGGUAAUACGGAGGAUCCAAGCGUUAUCCGGAUUUAUUGGGUUUAAAGGGUGCGUAGGCGGACCUGUAAGUCAGUGGUGAAAGUUUGCAGCUCAACUGUAAAAUUGCCAUUGAAACUGUAGGUCUUGAGUGUAAAUGAGGUAGGCGGAAUGUGUUGUGUAGCGGUGAAAUGCUUAGAUAUAACACAGAACACCAAUUGCGAAGGCAGCUUACUAGGAUACAACUGACGCUGAGGCACGAAAGCGUGGGGAUCAAACAGGAUUAGAUACCCUGGUAGUCCACGCAGUAAACGAUGAAUACUAGCUGUAUGCGAUAUACUGUAUGUGGCAAAGCGAAAGCGUUAAGUAUUCCACCUGGGGAGUACGUUCGCAAGAAUG